rnacentral:rRNA from 1 species
UGAGCAACCUGCCCUUGACUCUGGAAUAACAGUUGGAAACGGCUGCUAAUACCGGAUACGACCUCCGACGGCAUCAUCUGGAGGUGGAAAGCUCCGACGGUCAAGGAUGGGCUCGCGGCCUACCAGCUUGUUGGUGAGGUAACGGCUCACCAAGGCUUCGACGGGUAGCCGGCCUGAGAGGGCGACCGGCCACACUGGGACUGAGAUACGGCCCAGACUCCUACGGGAGGCAGCAGG